CCCAAACAGCAAGCAAUGCAGGUGUAGAAGCACGGUGGCUAGGAAAAACUCCCCAGAAAGGCCAGAACCUAGGAAGAAACCUAGAGAGGAACCAGGCUACGAGGGGUGGCCAGUCCUCUUCUGGCUGUGCUGGGUGGAGAUUAUAACAGAACAUGGCCAAGAUGUUCAAAUGUUCAUAAAUAACCAGCAGGGUCAAAUAAUAAUACUCACAGUCAUACACCUAGACACACACACACCUAGACACACACAUCUGUCAUACACCUAGACACACACACCAAGACAGCGUUUAGAGGGUUGGGUCAGUAACCGAAAGGUCUCUAGUUUAAAUCCCCAAGCCGACAAGUUGGUGGUGGGGUCUGUCGACGGCACUUAACCCCAAUUGCUUUCAGUCGCCGUUCAUAAUGGCUGACCCUAGCCGUGACCCCACUCUCCGAGGGCGUCUCAGGGAGAGUUGGGGUAUGCAAAAAAAACACAUUUCCAAUUCACACACGUGUAACACUGGUACGUGUGACAGGACUGAUAUAAAGAGACACCAAAUUAGGAUUAUUAGCUGAAGACACUCUGCACAUAUACAUACCGUUGGUGUCUGAUGAAAACCUUGUAACUCCAUUUGAUCCCAAAACAUUUGUAUUGAAUGCAGUAACUCCCCUCCAAUAUAGACUGAAUAUUUCCUGACUCUACGACUAAGAUCAUAUGUUUAUAAUAGCUCCUGAAGUUUGGUAAUUAUAUGUUUGUUAAAAAUAAAACUUUUUUUUCUUUCUUUUUUCCCCCCCAUUUCUUGAAGUGUCUGUUUUGGAGAUGGGCCUACAGGGUUCUCAUCAGAAAGCUAUGAUACACACGUGUGUGUGUGUGUGUGUGUGUGUGUACACAUCUGAGAGUCACAAACACCCAAACACACUUCUCAUACACCUGACCACACACACACACACACACACACACACACACACACACGCAGGCCCAGCUCAUACAUUGUCACACAGCCAUACAUAUACAGGUAUCAUACACAGUGGAUACAGCACACUAGGUUGGGAGUCAUAGGAGAAACCAAUAUCUCUUACUGCAUGUGUUUAUGGAUGUGGGUAUGUAAAGCCGCAAGGCACUGAUGAGUUCUGUUGUUUUCAUUUGGGCCCCCCACCCUGUUAAAGUUGCCCGUCCUUGGUAUCGACUGACAGGAGACUGUGCUAGAACCUACUGUAGCUGUGCCAUAGUCUAAUAGUGGCAAACCACGUCGCUCAUGUCAUGCUGUUUGACAUCCACACAAACACUUUGUCACUUUUAAAAAAAUAUAUAUAUAUAUUUUGAAGCACUUUCCAUUUGUCAAUCCUUUACUUGAUUUAGUCUUUAUGCAGUAUGUCACGAACCUGAAACGUCAGGAUGCUUAUAAGCUGGUUGUAAUAAGUUGUGUUCACCGCUGAUUUCAGACGGACACAUUUAACAGGGAGUUUGGAACAUCGCAGAAAACUUCUCUUGGGUUUUAAUUAGUCACGUCCCUGUCAGUCUCUGGUCUGGACGGCCAUUUUGAUCCAAUGACAACGGCACUUUGCCGUGAUCAUGUGACUUCACAGGGAUGCCGGCACUUGCUGUACAAACAGACGUAAACACACACACUUCCAUGACAAAGUGGAUCUCGCAUGGAUCCAUAUUCACCAUUUCUUUCUUACCUUUUCUCGCUCUCCUUCACCUUUUUUUUUAUCUCCAUCCCUCAAAUACACCCCCCUCCUGACCCUCUCACCUAUGGGGCAUGGUGUAUGUGAACCGAGUGAUACGAGAGGGUGGCGUUAUAGAACUGGUACAGGAAGUUAAGGUCAAGUCAUAGAGGGAUUUUAAGGGAAGAUGGGUGGAAGUGAGGAUCUGAGGGUUACUGAAUAAGAACUGUGGGGUUUACAGAAUGUUCAAAGGAGAGUUCUAGAACGGUGGAGGUUGUCUGGGGGUAAACAUACUAUACACUACAGUAUGCCAUACAGACUUUAGUACAGUACAGGUGUAGUACACUACAGUAUGCCAUACAGACUUUAGUACAGUACAGGUGUAGUACACUACAGUAUGCCAUACAGACUUUAGUACAGAACAGUACAGGUGUAGUACACUACAGUAUGCCAUACAGACUUUAGUACAGUACAGGUGUAGUACACUACAGUAUGCCAUACAGACUUUAGUACAGAACAGUACAGGUGUAGUACACUACAGUAUGCCAUACAGACUUUAGUACAGUACAGGUGUAGUACACUACAGUAUGCCAUACAGACUUUAGUACAGUACAGGUGUAGUACACUACAGUAUGCCAUACAGACUUUAGUACAGAACAGUACAGGUGUAGUACACUACAGUAUGCCAUACAGACUUUAGUACAGUACAGGUGUAGUACACUACAGUAUGCCAUACAGACUUUAGUACAGUACAGGUGUAGUACACUACAGUAUGCCAUACAGACUUUAGUACAGUACAGGUGUAGUACACUAUAGACUUUAGUACAGUACAGGUGUAGUACACUAUAGACUUUAGUACAGAACAGUACAGGUGUAGUACACUACAGUAUGCCAUACAGACUAUAGUACAGAACUGUACAGGUGUUGGAUUAUGACUGCUGAAUGUCCUUUUGGGUGGGUGGUGAUGCUGCUGUUGCUCCUGCACCGCCCCCUGUCGUUACCCCCCCCGACCCCCUCCUCAAAUAGACAGACAGACCCCUCUCUCUCUCAUAUAUAUAUAUAUAUAUGGUGGGGGGGAGGUGUGGUAAAAGAAUAUAUAUAUAAAUAUAUAUAUAAAUAGUUGAUUUAACAGCAAUUUCAUGUGGGAUGUAUAGGAAAUAAUGUGUUAAUAUUGUACAUUUUUAGAAUUGAAAAAAAAAUCGCCAUUUAAAAACAAAUCCAAGUUGAGACCAAUUAACUGCUUGUAUUGUGAAGACACAAAUCUCUGUGAUAACUGACAUGGUCUUUAACAAUGCUUUGAAACAAGGAAAUUAUUGAAAAAAACAUGAUCAACAACACCUUGUACAUACACACACACACACACACACACACACACACACACACACAAUGUGUAGUCCUGGAGUAGUGUUAUUAGAUUCCGUUGGGGUUCUAUCGAGUUCCGUUGGAUCCCAUUAAAUUCCGUUGGAUUCUAUUGUCUCUACUUGUUCAGACUCGCUACUGACCUGUGAACUUUUGUCCACUCAUUCUUUCUGCAAAGAGCCUUCAGGUCUCUCCCCAAACUGAGGAGGAUGUGCUGUACUCUUCCUUUUAAUGGUUUUAAUUUGCUGUUCGGGUUUUUAUUUCUCUUAUCGAGAGAAAUUGUUGGUUUUCAUCUACAUCGAUUGAUGUAAUUCAGUCGGUCAGAUUAUGAUGACAUCUAGAUUAUACUCAAUGGUCAGAUUAAAAUAAGAGAUCCACUCUGGUUCAUCCUUGGAGAGACGGGAUCUCUACGGUCUGAUCAGUAGAGUUACUGGAACCAUUCCCACGCCAUGCAAUCUGUAUUAAACUGGAUAGGUUGUGCAAAAAAAGAUGAAUGUCUUACAUAAAAGAAUAUAUACAAUUAUAGAAAAUGUGAUUUUAAAAAAUGUUUAAAAGAAAUUGAGAAAGAAUGUUUUAGGAGACAAAUGUAAAAUUUUGUUUUGUAAUUACUUAUUUUGUUUGGCAGAGGGCUACUGAACAAAGAUUCCACUGUAAUAAAGUCCUUUUAGUUC